GGCUUAAAUUUGAAAUACCGUAGAUUAGUAGGGUCAGCUGAUACUACUAAUCUACUCUACUUUAAAUUUGGACCC
rnacentral:pre_miRNA from 1 species